UUUUCUGAAAUCGUGCUUAAUUAUUAUUAGCUAAUCGGCGCUACACCGUUGUUCAAAUACUUAUAAUUGCAAGAAACCCCCGACUAGGACCAGCAGGUAAGAAUCUGUCUUGAUUUUAUAGUAAUGCCCGGUUGCAAUUAUUGGCCGCCAUCUUUGAUUUUUAUAGACGUUCGGGCCAAAAAAAAAGGAGAAAUGUAUAUCCAGACAUGGACUAUAGCUAGAUACUAACUUUUGUGUUAGUUGUUUAUUUGAAAUGUAAUCUUAAUAUUUCUGUAAAAGAAAAAAAACAACAACAAACAAAUCAGCCUUUUUUUAAUAUCAAUGUCAUCAAUGUGUAGGCCUAAUAAUUAGACUUUCAAUGAUUCAGAAGUUUCUCUACAGUUUCGUUAUUUUUUUUCCAGUCAUUGAUGUUAGCAUAUGUACUACACAAAGAAAAACAGUUUCCAUAUUAGAUGCCAUAGCAAAUCAAAGAUCAUAUAAUAAAAUAAGUCAAAAAACCCAAAUAUGGGAAAAAAAAGAGCUGAAGAAAUGGUGAUUUGAGCACCUAUGAUUUCUCAUAGUUGUUUUUUGAGGAAAGAUCAAGACAGUUGAAAAUGGCUAUUCAUAUUAUGGAAACUUUUUCUCACAGAGCUUGAUAAUCAGGUAAAAUGCUGGAACACCCUUGAAAGAGUAUUUGGUGUAUGAUAACAACAAGAGAACCCAAGCAUCAAUUUAUUUUAUACUUCUGGGAAAGAAUGCAUUUGACCCAAUUUUUAAAUAUUUAUUUUUUGUUAUUAAUGUUAAAUUUUCUUCCAAAACACAAUUAGAUUUUAAUUCUCUUCAAAUAUGUAUGUAUAAUAUAGCAAGUAAACUGACAUAUAAAUCACUUAGAAUUUGGUCGGAAAUCAUAAAGUAUUUAAUAGGCAUUACUAGAAACCAAAUGUAGAUCAAAUACACCCAGAAUUACAAAAAACCUUGACCUACAUUAAGGUGACUUUCCCUUGCUUAUGAAAUGAAAUACGUUUUAAUAUCCUGCUUUUCUGUGUUCUUAGAGUGAUUCUACCCUACCCUUAUAUCAAAUAUUUCAACUGUCAAGGGUUCUUUAAAGGGUACCCAGGGGGGCCGAAUGGUUAACACGCACACAUUUGAUCAGAAGGUCUGUCAUUGAUUCAAAUAAUUCAAUUUUCAAGGGUUCUUCAAAGUGUACGCAAUUGGGUUGGUUUCAAUUCUGGGGGGUGGGGGUGGAUGGCCGAAUGGUUAGCACGUGCAUGCUGUAUCAUACGGCCUCCUGUCAUUGAGUCAACUGGCAUGGUUUCGAAUCCCCGGUUGUAGACAAGGAGAAGGGUCGCCUGUCCAAUCUUGUGGGUUUUCUCCGGGACCUCCGGUUUCCUCCCACUGCUAAAGACCCCUACGCGCUAGCGAAUUAUUGAAAUAAAAUUAAACCAUAUGUUAAUCCCAAAAUGAUCUAGUUUGUGUCGAGUAGAUGUUAAACCCCAUUUCUCUCUGUCUCUCUCUCUUUUGAUUCUGGGCUUGUACCCAAUUAUCCCUUGCCAUAUCCAACACUGAAAAGUGGGAACUAUGCCGGAAAAUCCAGUUGAAAUUUCGCGGCCAACGCCUUAUGCUCACUGAACCACUGUGGCUUAUGACUUGUGAUUGUAUAUAAAUCUUUUGUACAUAUGAUAUUUUUUUAUUUCAAUCCUGUAAUCUUGAUGCUUUGCUUCUUUUAUUUAUAAAAUAUUCAUUUUGUUUGGGGUUUUUUUAAUGAGGAAAAGGCUCUACAUCAUUUUAUUACUCCUGCAAAAUAGAGCAAUUUUCUUUUGUUAGUUUUCUGUGUAUGCUAGUUAUUUCUAGAUGCCUCACAAAUCACUUGUAGUGUGAUUUUGUAGCAUUUUUCAGUUUUUGAAAUUGUUUCAAUUUAGUGCAUAAUUAAUCUUAUUAGUGCUUAGUUUGGAUGUUAUUAAAUUUAGAUAUAUUUGAAUUAUAUAUUUUGGGGUAUGGGGUAGGGAUACUGUGUACAUAUCUUUAUAUUCUCAGUUCUUGUUUUGGGGUAAAGAACAAUUUAAAUAGCUAUUUUAUAUUUUGUGAUGGGUAAAGUGUGUGGGGCAAAAAACAAUUUAAAUAGCUAUUUUAUAUUUUGUGAUGGGUAAA